rnacentral:lncRNA from 1 species
CAAACUGAUAGCCUUCACCUCACUCUAAUCAGCUGCAUCCUGACACCAUUUGGCAGUGGCUUUAGGAAACCACACCCAGACUGCUACUGGUUCCUACUCAGCCACUAACUUGCCAUCUGCUGGCAAAAUGGGAGGAUCUGUUGAGCUGUCCCGCCCCUGUUGAUGGGAGAGCGGCUGCGCUGUGGGCAGGGGCUACCCGAACCCCCCCACACUCUCCACCAGUCUCUUGAGGACGCUACAGGCCCUGCUGUGAUGUCUGCUCCUCUGGAGCCCCUGCUCCUGCCUUUUCCCGUCUUCUGUGCCAAGGGACAUGGCUACUGCCAUGCAAAGCCACUGCCCGCAUAACCUCACCCCAGAGCCAUCACUCCUCCCCUUGCCUGUGCUACAAGUCACACCAUGGACACCAGCAGCAGGUAUGUGAAGGCAGAUGAUGGCUUUGCUUCUCAAAGAAGUAACAUUGAGGGCCUUGAAGGAGGAAAGAAAUCCAGCCCUUUCAACCUCCAUGGAAGAUCUACAGAGUGUCAGGCCCACUUCCUCCCUAUGGAUCCACAUGUGGGCUUGGGACAAUGGUGUGGGCGGCUGCUUGGGUCUCAGAUCCAGGGAGGAUCCAGAAGCACCAACUCUGAGGCCGCGGCAGGGCGUCUGCUAACACUCAUCUGGUCGUUUCCUCUGGAUUCGGGAAGAACCAGCUGACCUGGGAAGCCUCAUUUCCCGCCUUGCUCUAGGCCCCACCUGACAUCACCGUCAUGGACGCAGGCUCCACAGGGCAGCAGGUGCUCACCAGCUUUCUGAAAAGGCCGGCAGAAUAAUGCAAACUUCUUCCCUUCCCUUCCACCCUGCUGCUCCCCGUGUCCAGACGUAACGGCCCCUGCGGGCUCCCCACGAGCUAAGUAAGCUCCAUUUUCCCCCUGCCGUACUCUGUGACACACCGCGGUGCUCUUCGUAGCUCUAGUUUUCAAUGUUUUUUUCAGAAUAACUAAGCCCCCGCUUUUAGAGAGCAUUCUUCUGCCAUGGCCUUAAAAUCUGCCUCAGCGGUGGGGAGUUGUUGGUAGGAGCCCCGUGUCAUAUUGUUAGGGCGGGGGACAGCCAUGAUCGGGGGCUCUCCACAGAAAGUUGAAACACCUUUUCAGUCUUGUGUGUGAGCUGCUUGUAUGUUGUGAUGGAGUGAAGGGAGAGCAGGGGCCACGUCUCAUUACUGUGAGACCUUCGCAAUCCCACCCCCCACUCUGAGCCUCUAUUCCUCCAUCCGAGAAAUGGGUAUGAUGGUGGCCUCCUGAAGUACCACAAGUGCAGCUCUCAGGAAAGCUGUGGACCUGCCCUGGAAAUGGCAGUUCCUCAGACCCCGGUCUCCUCCUCUCUGAACACUCCAUGCCAAAGACCAGAAGCCAUCGGUGCUGGACCAGCACGG